ACAUCGAAUGGAUGUCGAACGGGGAGGGUUGGGUGCGGCCCUGGCGGGGAGGACCUAUGAGCGGGACAUCGCUGUGGUGUGGAGGGACGCUGGGGUUGUCGGGCGGGUCUGGGAGGUUGGUGCUCUCAGUGCUGCGGAGGUGAUUGGGAUUGGUCGCCGAGGGGCCCACCUGGGGGUUGUCAGUGAUAGUCGGCCUGUUGAGCUGGCACAUGCUUGGAUGUGGGCGCUCAACAUAGGCAUGUGGAUCCCCAAUGACGUAUGAGUGGUGGUGCGGUUGAUCUUGUCCCGUGUUGUUCUUAGUUUUUUGUGUGUGUUGGGU
rnacentral:lncRNA from 1 species